UACGUAGGGUGCAAGCGUUGUCCGGAAUUAUUGGGCGUAAAGAGCUCGUAGGCGGUCUGUUGCGUCGGCCUGUGAAAACCCGGGGGCUCAACCCCGGGCCUGCAGCCGAUACGGGCAGACUAGAGUUCGGGCAGGGGAGACUGGAAUUCCUGGUGUAGCGGUGAAAUGCGCAGAUAUCAGGAGGAACACCGGUGGCGAAGGCGGGUCUCUGGGCCGGUACUGACGCUGAGGCACGAAAGCGUGGGGAGCAAACAGG
rnacentral:rRNA from 1 species